rnacentral:tRNA from 4 species
GGCUCGGUAGCUCAGUCGGUAGAGCAGAGGACUGAAAAUCCUCGUGUCGGCGGUUCGAUUCCGUCCCGAGCCACCAUUU